rnacentral:rRNA from 1 species
UUAAAAAUAAUUAUUUAAUUUAUAGUUAAUUAGUAUUGUGAAAGAAUUUUGAAAUAUAUUAAAUAAAAAAUUAUAUGAAAGUAAUUUUAUUUUAGUGUAUCUUGUGUAUCAGAGUUUAUUAAAAAUUUUUAUUAAAAAAUAAAUUCUCGAAUUUAAAAGAGAUAAUUAAUUAAGAAAGUUAUUGUAGCAAAAAUAUUUUUAAUAAUUAAUUUGAAGUGAAAUGUUAAUCGUUUUUAAAUAUAUCUAGUUUUUUUAGAAAAAAAUUUAAUUUUUAAUUAUUUAAUUUUAAUUUAUUUAUUAAUUAAUAAAUUUAAAAAAUAAUUAAAUAAUUUAAGGGAUAAGCUUUAAAUUAAAUUUAUAUAAUUAAUUAAAUUAAAAAUAAAUAAAAAUUGUAUGAUUUAAAUUAUUAAAAAAUUAUAAUUUAUUAUAAAUAAUUUUAUUUAAAAUAAAAUUUUUUAAAAAUUUAUGUUUUUAUAAAAAAAUAAAUUUUAAUAAAUAAAAUUUAGAUAUAAUGAUAAAAUUAGUAUAUAAAAUUAUUUUUAAAAUAAAUGAUUUAAGUUAAGUAAUUAAAAGUAAUUCGGCAAAAAUUUAUAUUCACUUGUUUAUCAAAAACAUGUCUUUUUGAUAAUAAUUAAAAGUCUAAUCUGCCCACUGAUUUUGAAUUGAAGGGCUGCAGUAUUUUGACUGUACAAAGGUAGCAUAAUCAUUAGUCAUUUAAUUGAUGACUUGUAUGAAAGAUUGGAUGAAAUAUAGACUGUCUCUUAAUUAAUAUAUAGAAAUUAAUUUUUUAAUUAAAAAGUUAAAAUUCCUAAAAAAGACGAGAAGACCCUAUAGAGUUUUAUAUUUAAUUUAAUUAAAAUUAUUUAUAAAUUUAUUAUAUUGAAAUUAAAUUUAAUUAUUUUAUUGGGGUGAUAAAAAAAUUAAAUAAACUUUUUUUUAAAAAAUAAACAUAUAUAAGUGAAAAAUUGAUCCAGUAUUAUUGAUUAAAAGAAAAAAUUACCUUAGGGAUAACAGCGUAAUUUUUUUUUUUAGUUCAAAUAAAAAAAAGAGUUUGCGACCUCGAUGUUGGAUUAAGAUAAAAUUUAAAUGCAGGAGUUUAAAAUUUUUGAUCUGUUCGAUCAUUAAAAUCUUACAUGAUCUGAGUUCAAACCGGUGUAAGCCAGGUUGGUUUCUAUCUUUUUAUAAAUAAAAUAUUUUAGUACGAAAGGAUUAAAUAUUUAAAUUAAAUUUAAUUAUUAUGAAUAUU